rfam:Felis catus isolate Cinnamon breed Abyssinian chromosome A3, whole genome shotgun sequence.
AAAAAGGAUUUUCUGAAAUCCAUUAUUAUAUCUUUAAGCAUAAAA